rnacentral:rRNA from 1 species
UACGAAGGGUGCUAGCGUUGUUCGGAAUUACUGGGCGUAAAGGGCGUGUAGGCGGCCUUAUAAGUCAGAUGUGAAAGCCCCGAGCUCAACUUGGGAAUUGCAUUUGAGACUGUAGGGCUAGAGUGCGAGAGAGGAAAGUGGAAUUACGAGUGUAGAGGUGAAAUUCGUAGAUAUUCGUAAGAACACCAGUGGCGAAGGCGACUUUCUGGCUCGCAACUGACGCUAAGGCGCGAAAGCGUGGGGAGCAAACAGG